AUUGAACGCUGGCGGCAGGCCUAACACAUGCAAGUCGAACGAGUAGCGGACGGGUGAGUAAUGUCUGGGAAACUGCCUGAUGGAGGGGGAUAACUACUGGAAACGGUAGCUACUACCGCAUACCUUCAACUGUGCCCACAUGGGAGUAGCUUGUUGGUGGGGUAACGGCUCACCAAGUCGACGAUCCAUAGCUGGGCUGAGAGGAUGACCAGCCACACUGGAACUGAGAAACGGUCCAGACUCCUACGGGAGGCAGCAGUGGGGAAGAUUGCACAAUGGGCGCAAGCCGGAUGCAGCCAUGCCGCGUGUAUGAAGAAGGCCUUCGGGUUGUAAAGUACUUUCAGCGGGGAGGCGUUACCCGCAGAAGAAGCACCGGCGAACUCCGUGCCAGCAGCCGCGGUAAUUC
rnacentral:rRNA from 1 species